GAUGAAGAACGUAGCGAAAUGCGAUAAGUAGUGUGAAUUGCAGAAUUCAGUGAAUCAUCGAAUCUUUGAACGCACAUUGCGCCCUUUGGUAUUCCUUAGGGCAUGCCUGUUCGAGCGUCAUUUAAACCUUCAAGCUCAGCUUGGUGUUGGGUGACUGUCCGCUUCACCGCGGACUCGCCUCAAAAUUAUUGGCGGCCGGUACAUUGGCUUCGAGCGCAGCAGAAACGCGAACUCGGGCCCGUCGUAUUGGCUCCCAGAAGCUAUCUUCACAAUUUUGACCUCGGAUCAGGUAGGAAUACCCGCUGAACUUAAGCAUAUCAAUAAGCGGAGGA
rnacentral:misc_RNA from 1 species